rnacentral:rRNA from 1 species
CCUACGGGAGGCAGCAGUGGGGAAUAUUGCACAUUGGGGGAAACCCUGAUGCAGCAACGCCGCGUGGGUGAAGGAGCGUUUCUGUGCGUAAAGCCCUGUCAGCGGGGAAGAAGAACGCCGCUCCCCGACCACUACGCCCCGGCUAACUACGUGCCAGCAGCCGCGGUCAUACGUAGGGGGCGAGCGUUAUCCGGAAUUCCUGGGUGUAAAGGGAGCGUAGACGGCGAGGUAAGCCUGAAGUGGAAGCCCGCGGCCCAACCGCGGAACUGCUUUGGGAACUGGUUGGCUGGAGUAUGGGAGGGGUAAGCGGAAUUCCUGGUGUAGCGGUGAAAUGCGUAGAUAUCAGGAGGAACACCGGUGGCGAAGGCGGCUUACUGGACCAUAACUGACGUUGAGGCUCGAAAGCGUGGGGAGCGAACAGGAUUAGAUACCCUUGUAGUC